rnacentral:rRNA from 1 species
UGCCACAGCCAUAUCACCCUGCAGCUGGUUGCCCACUGAAGCUAAGCAGGGUUGAGCCUGGUCAGUACCAUUUAUUUUGCCUUGCUUUUGUAAACAUACAGACUUUGGUAUUGUGUCGU